rnacentral:lncRNA from 1 species
CAUUGGUGGCUCUAGCUAGCUCCUCGUAGGUGAAAGUGCUUUUGGAGAAGCCUAACACAAGCCCUGGAGACGGUGGAGGAAGAACUGGACGGUCCGAGUAGUCGGAGCCGCCGCUGCUGCUCAUGAAAGGCGGUGGGGGAGGUGGAGGAGGUUGACGAGGUGGAGAUGGAGCCUUAGGUGGUGGUGGUAGUGACGUCACGACAUGAUCUGACGGUGGUGUUGCGUUUUGUUGCCGCCAUUGUUGAUGUUGUUGUCCACCGUAAGGUCCUCCGGCUGAGAAACACAAAGAAGAUUCCAAAUCUCAAAAUCGGAUUAUUGAAAAGAUUAAAACUUUUAAAGAAAUUAAAAUCAUUUGGCACAAAAAGAUUGAAUCUUUCUUAAUACCUUUGGGACCAGGAGGUGGAGGAGGAAGAUAGUAAGCAUCUUCUUCGUCUCUCCGUCGUUUCUUCUUGCAGAGGAGACAAAUCAGAGUCACUAUCACAAGCAGGGCGACUCCUCCGAUGGCGAUUCCGA